rnacentral:lncRNA from 1 species
CCCUAUUUUCUUCCCCUCCCUCGCUCUUUCUCCAUUUUCUCAUUCCAUAUUCUUUCAUUUUUCUGUCCAUCCCCAGUUCGCCCCGCUUUCUUCAAGAUUGCGACGUCCCAGAUCUGGGCUAAGGAGCAUCACCUCCGCUCUCUAGAUAUCCUCUUUUUCCCUCUUAGAGCGGGCCCGACGGUCGUAUGCAGACACCAACUCGACAGCGAUGACCAGCGGCGGCAGAGGCAUGUGGCGGAGUGUGGAAGGACAGAAAUUGACACAGGCGGGUGUAAUAACAAUGUUUUGACAUCCAAAUCGGUAAUCCAGGUUCUGAUCACCCAGAGUGGGUACCUCCAGAUAUCCUGUCUCCCCUUUGUUUUCCUUUCUAGUAAGUUGCAUAAUUGCAUUAGUUAGUUUUAGUACAAUGCCUAUUUACUUUUCUGCAAUAUUGUUUGGCUCAUUAGCUUUAGUAGAAUUCUUAUUUUCCCGCUUGAAGUUUUAUUUUGGUUCUUAAGCUUUCUAAUUUGUAGCUUAUAUUUUUUUGUUUAUGCUAUUUGAUAUUUUAGUGUUAGCUGUGAGCAUGUAAUUUUUGCCUUAUGUGAAUUACUCCCAUAAAAUACAAGAAAAAUAAAUUUUUCUAUUAAUUACAAUAUUGUAGGAUUUUGUGAGAAUUUGCGCUAAUUGUUUGCAUUUCUGUGCAUGUUUAUUUCUAUUUAAAUCAUGAAAAGUACAAAAAAAAAGCAUCAUGCAUCACAUUUAGGUUAUUCUACAGUUCCAGGAUUAAUUAAUCAGUUAUUUGUUUUGUUAAAAUUGAAAAGCACAAAAUUGGUUCAUUUUUACAAUUAUUGUCUUUAAUUUUAGAUUGUUGAUGUUUCUCUUUUAAUUUAGGAUCAGAUAAUGUUUAUAAAUUUUGCACUUUGAUAAUUAGUUUAAUUUCACAACUCGGACUAAUUUGGGGUAAUUUAUAUUUUUUAUUAAUUUAGGAAGAAGAAAAAGAAAAAGGAAAAAAAUUGAAAAGGAAAAGGAAUUAAUUAUAAAACAAAGAGAAGGAAAGUUUGAAUUUGUUUUAAAACCCAAAAUUGGGCCAAUUUGGUGGAAACCCAAACUAUUCUGUGGCCCAGGGCAACCAGGUCCAAACCUCAUACCCGGUCCAAAGCCUUCAGUCCAUGAGACCCUGAAACGACGUAGUAUAGGAGGAAUACUACGUCAUUUUGAGUUCGUUAGUGUUAAAUUAUUCCUGGUCCUUCAUUUUAUAUGAUCUAAUGGCCCUAAAGACUUCCCCCAUUUUAAUUAAAAUUGUCCAAACGCUUCAUAUUAACCUAGGAUCUCUGCUCUUCAUCUCCCUCACACCCUGUAUCUCACCACUGUUCGCCGCCCACCAGAAAUCGCCAGCGACAACGGUUGACCUCAAAACCCCUUAAAAUCUUAACCAUGUAACCUCUGGUGCACCUCCAUUCCAAAUCCACCCUUGUUUUCUCUCCCAAACCACCCAUUCUCUCCAGAUCAGAGAUCGAAGUUAGCACUGAAAAUCCUUUCACCCUUUUUCUUCUGAUUUUCGCCUACUCUAGUUUCUUUUUGGUGUUAAAACGUGUGAAUCAACCAGUUUCGAUGUGAAAAAGCCAAUUGGUUGAGGGAUCGAUCUGUGUAUGGUGUCCAAGUUUGGUCAACAGUCUCUGAUAGGCCCUUAUCUCAAUUUCCUCUUCGUUCUUGACUCGUGAUGGGGAUUGUGACAAAGAGCACAAGCCAUGGAAGAAAUUCCGGCUAGUGCUCAAUGUUACAGUUCACACCAUGUGGUUGAGAUUCUUCACGCCGGAUGCCAUCAUCUGUGAGCCAUCAAUCUAGCCGGUACUUUUCUUCUUCUUCAUCUCAGUCGGGUUUAGAAAUCGCAGGUUUUUCAGUCGUUUAAUUAGGUAAUAAUAAUAGGUUAAGAAGCAAUAAAUUCUCUGUUAGCAUUUGUUAAUUUUCCUUUUUCCUUUUUACUUCUUUUUUUAUUAUUAUUCUUAUUCUGCUUCGUUAAGAAGAUCUCAUGUUACUAGAAUUCAGAAAUGAGUUAUUUUGGUUUUCUUAUUUUUCUUGUGAAUUUAUUGGUUUAGACUUGAACUUGGGUUUGCUAGUAGCCCAAAAAACUGGUUGAAGUUCAUUUGGUGCAGAAGCCCAAAGACAUUUGGACGGUUUGAUCCAAUGUCUAUGUUAAAGUAAUUACCAGCCUUAUAAAGGGUAGUUUAGAAAAUUUAAUAAGGGGAAUCUUACUUAAACCGCUUAGAAAAUUUCCAAGAAGGUGGGAUUGGGGGUAGAUUAACAAACAGAUUUUAACUACAGGGUCCAAAAUAAAAAAAUAAAAAUUGGGGAAAGGGUAAAUGGUGAAGUAUAGAAUCAGAUUUUGUUGCCCUAGGAGCUGGUUAUAUAAGGUUCAUUUUCUUUCAUUUAUAAGCAGAGAUUAGAGACCUGAAAAGGGAGCAAACGGUUGAAACCAUACACAUUGAUAUAAGUCCCAAAAUUAGAAAGAAAAAAAGAUACAAAAAAAUCAUCAAGUACAGUUCUAUUGUAGCCGGUUUGUUGAUAUUUCUUGGGUUUUAAAAGCUAGGGUAAUUUGUUGUUUACUUCUGGGUUCCAAAACAUGAAAAGCUGAUUGAUGAACUGAUGUUGGUUGUUGUUUUAAGAUCUGCUGAGAUUGUUAGUUCUUUGCUGAAUUAUUGUGACUAUUUUGGUUGUUUCAGGUAUGUUUCAAACUUUGAAAGUGCAAAAUGAAGUUGGAGAUGCAAUGUGUUUAAAUGAAAUUAGGCUUCCCUUCCAGAUUUUCUCUUCUUUUGUUUAGCAUUACAUGUAUUAAUUAGUUUGAUAGUCAAAGU